CAGUAGCCGCGGUAAUACAGAGGGUGCGAGCGUUAAUCGGAUUUACUGGGCGUAAAGCGUGCGUAGGCGGCUAAUUGAGUCGGAUGUGAAAUCCCCGAGCUUAACUUGGGAAUUGCAUUCGAUACUGGUUAGCUAGAGUGUGGGAGAGGAUGGUAGAAUUCCAGGUGUAGCGGUGAAAUGCGUAGAGAUCUGUAGGAAUACCGAUGGCGAAGGCAGCCAUCUGGCCUAACACUGACGCUGAGGUACGAAAGCAUGGGGAGCAAACAGGAUUAGAUACCCCCGUAGUCCCUGUCUCUUAUAC
rnacentral:rRNA from 1 species